CACAGCGAUCUGCACAUGUAAACCGUCGGAUCUUUCCACACAUGCAUCUCAUCCAUCGAUUCUGAGCCCUCUCCAUUGGCUAGAUCAAGUCAUGCAACAGCGCCAUUCUACCCGCAAGCAGCUGCGCGCGGGGCCUGCGAUUUGCUGGCCCGCUCGUCGGUCACCUGGGGUGGGCUUUGGAAGAGUCACACAUGGCUGCAGGUGCGCAGGACAAGUGGACGUGAUUGGCCUGUGCGGCUCAGCUAGGCAACGAGAGACAAAACUAGCACCCAGGCCAAACCAUAUCCCAAUCCCCACAGCCGCCGCCUCCCCAACUCCAGCUCCCCGCCGCCGGUCUCCUCUCCGGCGAGCCGUCGUCGGCGUCCUCUCGAUCCGGAUUAUCAAGGCCAAGGACGAGCGGCUCUGCCUGGCACGGCCGCGCUCGCCUCGAUUUUCGUCGGCUCCGGCGUGGCAGGGACGUGGGUGUCGGCCGUGGCCGUCCUCGGCGGCGCGCUGGCCGCGGCGGACCUCAUCUUCAUCGGGAAGAGGGGCAGGUGCCCGCUGGACUCCAUCUCUCCCUCAUGUGCCCAGAGGGGAAAAGGUGGAGGUAGUUGGGAGAUGGGUGGCGCCCAGAUCUCCAUGAAUUUAGGGUAGGUGAUUUAUUCAAGUUGUGUCACAGAUUGUUGUCUGUGAUGAACAAGAGUGAACAAGAGUGUGAUGAUGAAAUAAGAAAUGCACAGCUUGUUGCCAAUCCAGGAUGUUAUCCCACGUCUGUUCAGAUCCAUCUUGUCCCUCUAAAAAGGCAAAAACUGAUCAAGAUGAGAAACAUUAUAAUUGAUGCAAAAUCUGUGGUUAUUGGGGCAGGUUUGUGUAAUUUCAAGGUACCAUGACUUUGGAAUUCAGCACCUACCCCUCCUCUGAUGUGGUGUUGUGAGAGCAAGAAAAAGAGCAGGCAUGCUCUAUCUCUACAUUGAGCGUUCACAUGGCCAGAUUGACGGGAAUAAACUCUGGGUGAAACUUGAUUGCAGACAGCCGGGAAAGAGUUUGCCAACAUUUGUCCCUGCUACAAGAUUUAUUGUUAAGCUGGUCUGGUAGUGUACUCCUCCGGAGAUGUUGCAAAUGGUGCUACCUCGCCAUGAAGCUCGUCACCCAUGUGCAGCGGGUGGAGACUGUCUGGGCUUACAACUUCGGAGCAUGAAUGUGACAGUACGAUGUGCCCCUGCCCCUGUUGUUCUGCCUGCAGACGCAGCUUACGCCCAUGGCCUUGCCUUCUAGGUCAGAGUUGGGGCCUGGAUCUGGACGAAGAACAGAAUAUCCCGGCGAACAUCGGCCAUGCUGGCGGCUCGAGCGAUGCGGGGUGACAGUGAGUGUGCCUGUGAGCACGGGACGCAGCGCAUCAGUCUAGACAGACAACAUGAGUGGAGUCCAAAUUUUUCGGGCCUCGAGAUUCUCGCUGAGAGCUCCUUGAUGCAAUUAUUAAGAUGGAGUUACAAGGAAGUCAUGGAUAAAUCCAUGAGCUCAUCAAAUGGAAAAAUUGUAUGGUAAUAUUUGUUGCUUGCCUUUGUAAGUUGCCUUCAAUUUUUGGUUGAUAACUGUUGGCACCACACUGCCUCUUACUCUUGAGUCUUAACAGAUCUUUUCAGUUUUAGAGUGUCGUAUGAUUAUGUGGAAAGCUCUCUAUUUUGGCCAUGGUUGAGGUGUGAUUUUGAUUUAUUGGGCACUGAUGGCGUGCAACAUAUAUCAGAUGAUACCAAGGUGUGUUCCCUAGCCCUUUUGUCAUAUGCAUCAAUAUUAAAAUAACAGUAUCCUAUAUAAAUUGGAUGAAAGAUAGCUUGAAUGAUUUCAACUUUAAUCAAAUCCUUUUUUUGAUAAAUAGUUAAAUCAUUAUACACUGAUUUUUUUUCAUCUAAUGUUUAAAUUCUCAGAAUAGUGGAAGUGAUUGUACUUUUCAGUUCUCUGUUGAUUGCACAUUAAAAGCUCUGAUUCUGUAGGCAACCGAGGAAGUGGCAUUUGGUGUCACAUGGUGUGGCUUUCCACUAAUUUAGCAGAAUUUUUUACCAUUAUAUAUGUUUGGUCUCACAUGGGCUAUCGAAAGAAUUAAUCCUCUAAGGUACCCAAUAAUUGUACUUUAUUCGAUGCUAUCUGCAGUUACUAGAUUUUAAAAUUUUAUUAGUGAGCUGCAAAACUGAGCAUCUUCUGUAUUCUCAUGUACAUGGUCAUUAAUAUAUCGUAUCUAGAAGUUUUUCAGGUUGCAGGUUUGUGUUUUAGGAAACAACCCUACCAGAUUUUGAAAUUGAUUUAGCCAUUUGAUCGAAUAAGUAAACCUAUUAGGGUCCUGUUGUGUAGAAUGCAGAGAAAGUAAUUUUUUUAAUGAGAUAAUGCUGCAUCUACUUAUUUAUAAUUUGUAAAAUGAAAAGGAUAUUUUGCUAUAUGGAAUAAUCUGGAAUGUUUGCUUCACGAUUGCUUGUACACUACGAUCUUAUAUGGUUCAGAUUAGUGAUCCUAUCGUAGCCAGCUGAACAGAGCAAAUCCAGCGUACCGUCUCAUGCUAAUCUGAUAUAGAACUAUCAUGCUAAUCUAAUAUAGCACUCUUGCAUUAUAGUUGAUUUUUUAGUACCAAGUUUUGGACCAGAAUAUGUUCCAUAUUUGGUGGUUAUUUCCUUAUUUGUUACCAAAAGAAAAGGCUUCAUGUAUCAGUACUGCUACCAAUAGUCCAGCAAUUGAAGAUACUGUAAGACAUUUUUGUUUCUGGAUAAAGAGAUAGUUUAGUUCGGUUCUUUAAUCAAGAGCUCUUUUUACAAUACAAUCGCAUUUACAUUCUGGUAGAAGCCGCCCACUAAGAAAGUACUUCAGCUCAUCCUAACUGGCAAAUGAUCUUCCCAUAUUCUUGUCAUUUAUCUAAUUCGAAAUCAGUUCUAUAUGUAAAUAUGGUGCCAAAGGCAAAGAGCAAAGCAUACUUUACAGUUGUCCAUAUCUGCUCCUUUUAUCAUCAUGUGGAUUCAUCUUCUUAUUGUCUGUCUAAUAAUUUAAGGGUGAUGUUUGUUUUGUAGGAAGUGUUGCACCUAACAUCUUAUACACGAUGAACUCUCACAUUUAUGUGAACUCAAUUUGUGUGUUCAGGCAACAGGCUUAAGUUUUAGUCUAAUCCUGAUACUGAGUUGAAACUUGCUAGAGAAACUGGCCUUAGUGUUUUCUCAUGGGGUUCAACUUGACAAGGAUAAUGCCCAAGGAACCAACUGAAGACUUCAACAGCUUGGAAAACCCAAGGAUAAUCAGGAUUCCUCUUAGAAUAAUACUAAAUAUAAUGCUAGAAACACUUGGUGUUUCAAAGGCUGAGUACCGACUGCAUCUAUGCGAAGAUAACAAAGUCCGUGUAACUGUUAUGUUCAACACAUCUACCCUACCAGUGGAAGGUGCUCCUGUAUAUCUCUCAAUGUCUGGAACAGAGUCUGAGAGCUAUGAAAUAGCAGAAGAUUCUGCAUGCGUUCAAGCCAUAACAUAUGUUGAGGAGGCAACCAACACAAUCAUUAAGGAUUUAGAUUACAGACAGCUGCUAGAAGUAAAAGGCCAGAACAAGAUCCUCUUACAUAAGCUAAAAAAGGCGCAUGAAUACAAGAAGCAGCUUGCUAGGGGUUGGUUUCUUUCUGUGAGGCAUAUGGCUUCAUUCUCUAAACAAGUGCUCAAUAUUACACACCUUAACUAUUCUGGUGGACAAGACUCUGUUGACACGGUUUGGAACAUACAGAUCUUCACUAAAAUUUCUGUAGAAUGUACAUACUCACCCUGUUAUCUAGCUUAUGUAAUUUCUCUGGAAUGUACAUGCACAUCCUGCUUUCUAUCUUACCUAAUUUCUGUGCACUGUACAUCCAGAUCCUAUUAUCUAUCCUAUGCAGUAAACUUAGCCAGUAUUAAAAUUACCUUGCCCAUUACCUGUUUU